rnacentral:rRNA from 1 species
UACAGAGGCCCCAAGCAUUAUCCGGAAUCAUUGGGCGUAAAGGGUGUCUCGGCGGCCAUAUUAGUCGUUCGUUAAAUCCGUGGGCUCAACCUGCGGCAUGCGAGCGAAACGGUAUGGCUCGAGGGCGUAAGGGGUGCAUGGAACUCAUGGUGGAGGGGUGAAAUCCGUUGAUAUCAGGGGGAACACCAAAAGCGAAGGCAGUGCACUGGUACGUUACUGACGCUCAAGCACGAAAGCGAGGGUAGCGAAUGGG